GCGCUUCAGCAGCACGUAUACUAAAACUGGAACGAUACAGAGGGGAUUAGCACGGCCCCCGCGCAAGGAUGACACGCAAAUUCGUGACGCGCCCCCUAUGUUU
rnacentral:snRNA from 1 species